ACCUGGCUGGCUCAGUUGGUAGAGCGUGUGACUCUUGAUCUUAGGAUUGUGAGUUCAGUCCCCAUGUUGGGUA
rnacentral:tRNA from 1 species